rnacentral:rRNA from 1 species
CUACGGGUGGCUCCAGUGAGGGAUAUUGCACAAUGGGGGGAACCCUGAUGCAGCAACGCCGCGUGGAGGAUGACGCAUUUCGGUGUGUAAACUCCUUUUAUAUGUCAAGAAAAUGACGGUAGCAUAUGAAUAAGCACCGGCUAACUCCGUGCCAGCAGCCGCGGUAAUACGGAGGGUGCAAGCGUUACUCGGAAUCACUGGGCGUAAAGGACGCGUAGGCGGGGUGGAAAGUCAGGUGUGAAAUCCUACAGCUUAACUGUAGAACUGCACUUGAAACUUCUAAUCUAGAGUAUGGGAGGGGGAGAUGGAAUUAGUGGUGUAGGGGUAAAAUCCGUAGAUAUCACUAGGAAUACCUAAAGCGAAGGCGAUCCCCUGGAACAUUACUGACGCUAAGGCGUGAAAGCGUGGGGAGCAAACAGGAUUAGAUACCCGCGUAGUC